rnacentral:rRNA from 1 species
CCCUGCUCAGGACGAACGCUGGCGGCAGGCUUAACACAUGCAAGUCGAGCGGGCGUAGCAAUACGUCAGCGGCAGACGGGUGAGUAACGCGUGGGAACGUACCUUUUGGUUCGGAACAACACAGGGAAACUUGUGCUAAUACCGGAUAAGCCCUUACGGGGAAAGAUUUAUCGCCGAAAGAUCGGCCCGCGUCUGAUUAGCUAGUUGGUGAGGUAAUGGCUCACCAAGGCGACGAUCAGUAGCUGGUCUGAGAGGAUGAUCAGCCACAUUGGGACUGAGACACGGCCCAAACUCCUACGGGAGGCAGCAGUGGGGAAUAUUGGACAAUGGGCGCAAGCCUGAUCCAGCCAUGCCGCGUGAGUGAUGAAGGCCCUAGGGUUGUAAAGCUCUUUUGUGCGGGAAGAUAAUGACGGUACCGCAAGAAUAAGCCCCGGCA